rnacentral:lncRNA from 1 species
ACUCCAAGAACUCUUAAAUUAUGCUUUCGAUCAAAAAGUCUAUCAAAUCUCGUCCGAAUGACCUCAAAUUUUGCACACACAUCCCAAAUGACUCAAUAGAAAUACUGCCACUUCUGAAAUUUCAUUUCGAUCUGGCCCACGUCUCGAAAUCGGGUACAAUUUACAUUUUCAGAAUCCUCAUACCCUCACGAGACUAACCAUACCAAAGUAAUCCAAUUCCUAUACCAUUUGGUCCUUCAAAUCAUCAUUUUAUAUUUUUGGAAGAUUCCACAAUUUUUCCUCCCAAAUUUCAUCCCAACUCACGAAUUAAAUGAUGAAUUCAAUGAUAGAUUCAUGUGUUCUAGCCAAAUCUGAGUUAGAAUCACUUACCUCGAUGAAUUUCUUGAAAAACCUUCGAAAGAUCCCCAAAAUUCGAGCUCUCUAGCUCAAAAUAUUAAAUAAAAACCAAAACUUCGUAUUUAUUGAGUACCCCACAGAUUUCCAUCUCUACGAACCGCACGAAAACGACCGCAGUCCGCACAAAACCAGUGCGGUCCGCACAAAAACGACUGCGGCCGCACAGGUUUUUAUCUGCAGUGAAAGGCUUUAGUUUUGGCUAUAACUUUCGCUACAGAUGUACAAAUUGUGAUAUUUUUACAUUUCUAGAAACUAGACACGAAGGGCACAACUUUUGUUUUUAAAUCAUCUUAAAAUUCCAAGUAGAUCAAAAUAUAUGAGCUUCCGAAAUAGAACCAGUGAAAUGUUCCACACCGCGGCCGCACUGCAUUUUGUGCGGUCCACACAACACCUAAUGCGACUUCACUUCAUUUUGUGCGGACCGCGCUGGUGGGUUCCGAGGCCUGCAACCCUUCUGGACCUGCUACAGCUAUAAUUUUCAGCCUAAAACAUCCCGAAACCUAACCGGAACCCCCCGGAACUUCAAACCAAUUGUACCAACACAUUCCAUGACAUCGUUCAAACUUGUUCAAAACUUCAGAUUGCUCACAACAACAUCAAAUCGCCAAUUUAACAUAGGAUUCAAGUCUAAGAACUCCAAGAACUCUUAAAUUAUGCUUUCGAUCAUAAAGUCUAUCAAAUCUCGUCCGAAUGACCUGAAAAUUUGCACACACAUCCCAAAUGACAAAACGGAAAUACUGCAACUUCUGAAAUUUCAUUUCGAUCUGGCCCACGUCUCAAAAUCGGGUAAAAUUUACAUUUUCACAAUCCUCAUACCCUCACGAGACUAACCAUACCAAAGUAAUCCAAUUCUGGUACCAUUUGGUCCUUCAAAUCAUCAUUUUAU